rnacentral:rRNA from 1 species
UACGGAGGAUGCGAGCGUUAUCCGGAUUUAUUGGGUUUAAAGGGUGCGUAGGCUGGUAAUUAAGUCAGUGGUGAAAUACUCCGGCUCAACCGGGGGGCUGCCGUUGAUACUGGUUACCUUGAGUUUAGAUGAUGUGGGCGGAAUGUGUCAUGUAGCGGUGAAAUGCAUAGAAAUGACACAGAACACCGAUAGCGAAGGCAGCUCACAAAGCUAUUACUGACGCUGAUGCACGAAAGCGUGGGGAUCAAACAGGAUUA